AUCCGACUGAUGAGUCCCAAAUGGGACGAAACGCAUGUUCAGGAU
rfam:Schistosoma haematobium scaffold446_4, whole genome shotgun sequence.